GCAGUGGGGAAUAUUGCACAAUGGGCGCAAGCCUGAUGCAGCCAUGCCGCGUGUAUGAAGAAGGCCUUCGGGUUGUAAAGUACUUUCAGCGGGGAGGAAGGCAUUGUGGUUAAUAACCGCAGUGAUUGACGUUACCCGCAGAAGAAGCACCGGCUAACUCCGUGCCAGCAGCCGCGGUAAUACGGAGGGUGCAAGCGUUAAUCGGAAUUACUGGGCGUAAAGCGCACGCAGGCGGUCUGUUAAGUCAGAUGUGAAAUCCCCGGGCUUAACCUGGGAACUGCAUUUGAAACUGGCAGGCUUGAGUCUUGUAGAGGGGGGUAGAAUUCCAGGUGUAGCGGUGAAAUGCGUAGAGAUCUGGAGGAAUACCGGUGGCGAAGGCGGCCCCCUGGACAAAGACUGACGCUCAGGUGCGAAAGCGUGGGGAGCAAACAGGAUUAGA
rnacentral:rRNA from 1 species